rnacentral:rRNA from 1 species
AUUGAACGCUGGCGGCAUGCUUUACACAUGCAAGUCGAACGGCAGCGCGGGGCAACCUGGCGGCGAGUGGCGAACGGGUGCGUAAUAUAUCGGAACGUACCCAGAAGUGGGGGAUAACGUAGCGUAAGGUACGCUAAUACCGCCUACGACCUACGGAUGCCAACGGGGGACCGCAAGGCAUUAUGCGUUUGGGCCGGCCGAUAUCUGAUUAGCUAGUUGGUGAGGUAAAGGCUCACCAAGGCGACGAUCAGUAGCUGGUCUGAGAGGACGACCAGCCACACUGGAACUGAGACACGGUCCAGACUCCUACGGGAGGCAGCAGUGGGGAAUUUUGGACAAUGGGCGCAAGCCUGAUCCAGCAAUGCCGCGUGAGUGAAGAAGGCCUUCGGGUUGUAAAGCUCUUUUGUCAGGGAAGAAACGGUAGAGGCUAAUAUCCUUUGCUAAUGACGGUACCUGAAGAAUAAGCACCGGCUAACUACGUG